GGUCAGACUAUAUUUAUCCAUCAGCAGGUCAGUCUAUAUUCAUCCUUCAGCAGGUCAGUCUAUAUUUAUCCAUCAGCAGGUCAGUCUAUAUUUAUCCAUCAGCAGGUCAGUCUAUAUUUAUCCAUCAGCAGGUCAGUCUAUAUUUAUCCAUCAGCAGGUCAGUCUGUAUUUAUCCAUCAGCAGGUCAGUCUAUAUUUAUCCAUCAGCAGGUCAGUCUAUAUUUAUCCAUCAGCAGGUCAGUCUAUAUUUAUCCAUCAGCAGGUCAGUCUGUAUUUAUCCAUCAGCAGGUCAGU